UAAAUAAAGUUAGUUUAAUUUAGGUUUCCUCCUAUAGUAAUCCUGAAUCAAUAUAAAAGAUGACCCUUACUGGACCUCUAGGAAGAACAGUUUAGAUCUGAAGUUUAUUUUUGUAAAUAACUAUAGAUAUGUUUAGCCUGGUUUUUAGCCUCAUCUUAUAAUGUGUUUAACUCGGCAGUAAGAUGGAACGUGCUGUUAGCUUGGGGCUAUCUGCGCCUCAAAACAAAUGUCUCGCCCUCCUUUCAAGUUGUUUUCCAAAAUUACAAACAGUAAUUACAGAAUGAUAUGUACUUUAUAUAACAUUAAGACCUUUUUAUAUACUAUACAAAUCCUUUUGACAUUGUAUGUUCUAAAAUCCAAGCAUUAAUAUGUCCACUAUCAUUUUGACUUUUCAAACUUCAAAGACCUUCUACAUGAAGCAUUAUAUUUCUUAGUGAUGGGGGGGGGGGGG
rnacentral:lncRNA from 1 species